rnacentral:lncRNA from 1 species
AGAAAUUGGUGCGGCGCUGACGUGGGAAGAAGUGUCGGGGCACAGGUUAGAUUAGGGUUUCUAGUUCUGAACAGCUUAGGUGUUUGGGACAUUUGGGCCGUUAGGUUUUUUUUAUUUGGUCUUUUGGGUUUGUAAUUUUGGGCCUGUAAUUUGGGCAAGUAUUGUAACUAGACUUUGGACUUUAAUAUUUUGUUUUAUUUAUUUUAUUUUUGGUUUUUUUUUGCUUGGUUUGGGCCCAGGCAAAAUUGGGCUUUCACAUAAUCAAUUAUUUC